GGUGGGUUGGCUCAGUGGUUAGAGCUUAGGUCUCGUAACUAAAAGGUCGCGGGAUCGAAUCCCACUAGAGGCUG
rnacentral:tRNA from 1 species